CCAACGCGAAGAACCUUACCAAGGCUGGACAUAUACAGGAAUAUGGCAGAGAUGUAAUAGCCGCAAGGUCUGUAUACAGGUGGUGCAUGGUUGUCGUCAGCUCGUGUCGUGAGAUGUUGGUUUAAGUCCCGCAACGAGCGCAACCCUCGUUCUGUGUUGCCAGCAUUUAGUUGGGAACUCACAGGAGACUGCCGGGGUUAACUCGGAGGAAGGUGGGGAUGACGUCAAAUCAUCAUGCCCCUUAUGUCUUGGGCUGCACGCAUGCUACAAUGGCUGGUACAAACGGCUGCAAUACCGCAAGGUGGAGCGAAUCCGAGAAAGCCAGUCUCAGUUCGGAUUGGGGUCUGCAACUCGACCCCAUGAAGUCGGAGUUGCUAGUAAUCGUAGAUCAGCAACGCUACGGUGAAUACGUUCCCGGGGCUUGUACACACCGCCCGUCACGUCACGAAAGUCGGUAACACCCGAAGUCAGUGGCCCAACCGCAAGGAGGGAGCUGCC
rnacentral:rRNA from 1 species